rnacentral:sRNA from 1 species
ACUUGGGUUCAUCUUCAUGAGGUGUAAUGGCGCCGGGAUGCGCUCUCCUCUUCUCAUUUGCCAAUUUAUUGCAGAUCCCUCCUCGAAAAAGUUUUGGGACUAACUCAGCCCCAUGGAGAUCAAGGUGAAUUAGAAAAACAACAAAACAAAACAAGAUUCAUUUUAACAUCUCAUUUUUCUAUCUCCAACUUUCCCUCCCCUCCUCCCACCCCAGGAAGAAAAGACUACGUUUGUUUCUGGUGAUACAUUCAUUGUAGGUGGGUGGGUGACUUCUAGAAGAGGAAAAUCAAGAAGAUUUGGAGAAGGAGUCUUGGAAGCUCUGGUGAAGUUUUCCAAAACUGGGAAGGACAGAGUCUGCUCAGCCUGUGUUAGUGGAGAAGAGGGAAGGAAACUGGCUGGAGGCCGCUGGACCCACAGAGGACAAUAGACAAUCUCCUGCUCUAAGAAGGAAUCAGUGGCCUUAAGAAGACAAUCUUGAAAAAGGACCUAAGUGAUGGAUGCCCACUGGAUCCAAAGAGAGAAACUCUAUAGAAUUAUGAUCUAGGUUUGACUGACUCCUGGCAAGAAGCCCUACCCGCCAGCCAAUUUGGAUGAGCUCUUAUGCUCCAGAUCCAUCAUGAGAAGAACAUGCCCUGGAUUCCUGCUAUCCCUUUAGCCAUGGCUCCAAAAUUAACACACACAAGGAAGACCUGAGGUCAAUCCACAGCCUGGAUUCAAGUCACCUAAUACGUAGGAGAAUCAGAGCUACCCAGCCAAACUCAAUCUACGUUAACUGAACCUCAGCUGACCUGCAGAUUUAUGAGUAUGAGAAUAAAGGCUUGUUAAUG